UACAAGCGGAACUACGUAGCUAAUACUGUUGUAACUGGGGAUCCUUAUUGUAGCAACACACUUUUGUAGGGAAGGCAAUCCUGCGCUGCGUUAGCUAAGUUUUCAUGUCAUCGGGUGUAGUUCAUAAAGGUUGAAGAGUGUAUGUUAGGAUGAAGUGUGAAUUCAUGCCAGGAAUAAUAAGUGUGAAGUUUGAUUUCCUCCCUUCUGUAAUAAGCAGCCAAUGAGUUCUCACUGAAGGGGAUAAUUCUCACUGAAACUACAGAAUAAAGCCGCCAGUUAAAAUCAUGGAACGGUUGUGCUCGUGGUUACUGAAGGGAGCUACAAGACCAUUAUUCGUUUCGAAUUCACCAACUCAAAGAUGCUUGCCCGCUCCAUCAUAACUCCGUAAGUUUUCCCUCCCUGUGUAGAUCAAACGUCCUGCCUGUAAAUCCUGGGUAUGCCCACAUCAUUAAUGAAUAAGAUGUGUAGAAAACUGUUUAGCCAUAGUUAAAGGCCUUUCAUAAAGAGGCUGUCAUGAUUGCCUGUGCCUCAUGUUUAACACGUAUUGCUUGUUACCGAAUACUACUGUUGUACAUUUAAUAUCUACUAGCCGAUUUCGUCGCAUUUGCACAAAUUCUGUCAUGUUACUGUGGUCUUUUUAAAAGUCAAUAAAUAUGUGUGUAGAGUGUACAUGUUUGUUUCACUGUAGAUCUGUUUAAGACCUCCUAGAAACACCUAAUUUCAUCCCACAGCAUUAAUUAAUAAGCUGUGUAGAAGCUGUUUAGCCAUAAGUAAAGGCCUUUCAUAAAGCAGCUGUCAUGAUUGCAUGUCCCUUAUGUUUAACACGUAUUGCUUGUUACAGAAUACUACUGUUGUACAUUUAAUAUCCCCUAGCAGAUUUCGUUGCCUUUGCACAAAUUCUGUCAUGUUACUGUGGUCUUUUUAAAAGUCAAUAAAAAUGUGUGUAAAGUGUC